CCUACGGGUGGCAGCAGUGGGGAAUAUUGGACAAUGGGGGCAACCCUGAUCCAGCCAUGCCGCGUGUGUGAAGAAGGCCCUCGGGUUGUAAAGCACUUUCAGUGAGGAAGAACGCCUGGUGGUUAAUACCCAUCAGGAAAGACAUCACUCACAGAAGAAGCACCGGCUAACUCCGUGCCAGCAGCCGCGGUAAUACGGAGGGUGCGAGCGUUAAUCGGAAUUACUGGGCGUAAAGCGCGCGUAGGUGGCUUGAUAAGCCGGUUGUGAAAGCCCCGGGCUCAACCUGGGAACGGCAUCCGGAACUGUCAAGCUAGAGUACAGGAGAGGAAGGUAGAAUUCCCGGUGUAGCGGUGAAAUGCGUAGAGAUCGGGAGGAAUACCAGUGGCGAAGGCGGCCUUCUGGACUGACACUGACACUGAGGUGCGAAAGCGUGGGUAGCAAACAGGAUUAGAUACCCGUGUAGUC
rnacentral:rRNA from 1 species